CCUACGGGAGGCAGCAGUAGGGAAUCUUCCACAAUGGGCGAAAGCCUGAUGGAGCCACGCCGCGUGGGUGAAGAAGGUCUUCGGAUCGUAAAACUCUGUUGUUAGAGAAGAAAGUGCGUGAGAGUAACUGUUCACGUUUCGACGGUAUCUAACCAGAAAGCCACGGCUAACUACGUGCCAGCAGCCGCGGUAAUACGUAGGUGGCAAGCGUUAUCCGGAUUUAUUGGGCGUAAAGGGAACGCAGGCGGUCUUGUAAGUCUGAUGUGAAAGCCUUCGGCUUAACCGGCGUAGUGCAUUGGAAACUGGGAGACUUGAGUGCAGAAGAGGAGAGUGGAACUCCAUGUGUAGCGGUGAAAUGCGUAGAUAUAUGGAAGAACACCAGUGGCGAAGGCGGCUCUCUGGUCUGUAACUGACGCUGAGGUUCGAAAGCGUGGGUAGCAAACAGGAUUAGAUACCCUUGUAGUC
rnacentral:rRNA from 1 species